AAGGGAUUCCUCCAAAGCCAGGGAAGCAGCAGCCCACAACCAGUGACUGACGGGAGCUGGUAAAUACCCUCACUCUCUUCCCAUUACAUGGAUGACUCUGAGCAGAUUCAACGAAUCCAUUCAAAAAAGGAUGCUCAUGCAAGUCAUCGUUUUGAGCCCCCGAUGAGACAGAGAUUUCCUAACGGGAGCCAGUCCUGUGGCCGUAAAUGACUGUGGGGACACGCACAUCUCAUAACCCACUUUGCUGUGGAGUAAUGCUGACAGCCGAGGACACUGUCUCGGAAGGCAAGAAUCCCAGGUUGGGAGUGAGUGGUCCCUCACAGCAAUGUUACCCGGCGUCUCCUAGAGCCAGAGUCAUCUUCAUGGGCUGAACCCAGGCCAAGCUGUUCAAGAGACAAAGGUGAGACAUUAUCACUCUGUCACAGAAUCUGGAUGAAAAAGAUUAGAUUUCUGUGCUCCCCAAACAAGUUUACACGUGCACGCCCGCACACACACGCACACAUACACACACACACACACACACACAUACACACUCAAUAGCAUACCGCUGGUUUCUUAAAAUGUGCUUUUUUGAGUGUUUAUUACCAAGGACCCAGUAAUUCCACUUUUGGAAAUCCAUUCUAAAGAAAUAGUCUUCAAUUCAGACAAAAGCUAUAAAUGUGCUCAAAGACAUUUAUCACAAUAU